GAUGAACGCUGGCGGCGUGCCUAAUACAUGCAAGUCGAGCGAACAGACGAGGAGCUUGCUCCUCUGACGUUAGCGGCGGACGGGUGAGUAACACGUGGAUAACCUACCUAUAAGACUGGGACAACUUCGGGAAACCGGCGCUAAUACCGGAUAAUAUAUUGAACCGCAUGGUUCAAUAGUGAAAGACGGUUUUGCUGUCACUUAUAGAUGGAUCCGCGCCGCAUUAGCUAGUUGGUAAGGUAACGGCUUACCAAGGCAACGAUGCGUAGCCGACCUGAGAGGGUGAUCGGCCACACUGGAACUGAGACACGGUCCAGACUCCUACGGGAGGCAGCAGUAGGGAAUCUUCCGCAAUGGGCGAAAGCCUGACGGAGCAACGCCGCGUGAGUGAUGAAGGUCUUCGGAUCGUAAAACUCUGUUAUUAGGGAAGAACAAAUGUGUAAGUAACUAUGCACGUCUUGACGGUACCUAAUCAGAAAGCCACGGCUAACUACGUG
rnacentral:rRNA from 1 species